rnacentral:misc_RNA from 1 species
CUUUCCCCUACUCAUCUUAAGGUCCCCCCCGAAAGCACACCUCUGUCGAGUUUACCGCGGGUGCAGCACGCUUGUUCCCACUCAGCAACACACCCCAACUGGAACAGGAGAGGUGCCGAGUCCUUCCGUUCUCUCUCGGCUGCUUCCUUGACUUCAUCUGUUUUUUUCGCUUGCUCUGUCACUUUCUUCUAUGCAGCGUUGACCUUUGGCGUUACUACGCUUGCCUCUUGCUGCCUUCGAGCCCUGCUCCAGUGGCCACGGGCAUCUCUUUAGCGGCUCGUUCUGCUUAGGUGGCUUCUGGCACGCCAGGCUCUGUUAUUCAAGAGGACUCCGCCUCGCGGUACUGCGUCCCAGCACUCCAGUUCGUCGCCACUCACAUCAGACGAAAGCUGCCGGCUGAAACCGUUUUCAUCGAUCACGAAGAGGGAGCCACUAACACCACUUUCUCAGCAUCGUUUUAUCUGUCCGCCGACCCUGGUGCAUGUGCACCACUCGAGUGAACCCUUGAGCGUAGGCGUGUAGCACUCCUUCUUCCCCUCCCCGGCGUUUCCGCCUUGUUGCUCUCAUUGUCUUUUUUCGUGCGUUCUGCACACAUGUGCCACGUUUCUUUUCCUGACUUCUUGUGACGGAAG